rnacentral:rRNA from 1 species
GUGGGGAAUAUUGGGCAAUGGGGGAAACCCUGACCCAGCAACGCCGCGUGAAGGAAGAAGGUUUUCGGAUCGUAAACUUCUAUCCUUGGUGAAGAUAAUGACGGUAGCCAAGAAGGAAGCCCCGGCUAACUACGUGCCAGCAGCCGCGGUAAUACGUAGGGGGCAAGCGUUGUCCGGAAUGAUUGGGCGUAAAGGGCGCGUAGGCGGCCUGGUAAGUCUGGAGUGAAAGUCCUGCUUUUAAGGUGGGAAUUGCUUUGGAUACUGUCGGGCUUGAGUACAGGAGAGGUAAGCGGAAUUCCCGGUGUAGCGGUGAAAUGCGUAGAGAUCGGGAGGAACACCAGUGGCGAAGGCGGCUCACUGGCUCGAUACUGACGCUGAGGUGCGAAAGCGUGGGGAGCAAACAGGAUUAGAAACCCCUGUAGUCC